rnacentral:rRNA from 1 species
GGCUUAGAGUUUGAUCAUGGCUCAGGAUGAACGCUGGCGGCGUGCCUAACACAUGCAAGUCGAACGGAGAUUAACGCUGAAUUGAUAAUUAGCUUGCUAAGAGGAUUUUCUUGUUAAUCUUAGUGGCGGACGGGUGAGUAACACGUGAGCAACCUGCCUUUCAGAGGGGGAUAACGGCUGGAAACGGUCGCUAAUACCGCAUGACAUAUUCGGAUGGCAUCGUCUGAAUAUCAAAGGAGCAAUCCGCUGAAAGAUGGGCUCGCGUCUGAUUAGAUAGUUGGUGAGGUAACGGCUCACCAAGUCGACGAUCAGUAGCCGGACUGAGAGGUUGAACGGCCACAUUGGGACUGAGAUACGGCCCAGACUCCUACGGGAGGCAGCAGUGGGGAAUAUUGCACAAUGGGGGAAACCCUGAUGCAGCAACGCCGCGUGAAGGAAGACGGUUUUCGGAUUGUAAACUUCUUUUCUUAGUGAAGAAGAAAGUGACGGUAGCUAAGGAAUAAGCAUCGGCUAACUACGUGCCAGCAGCCGCGGUAAUACGUAGGAUGCAAGCGUUAUCCGGAUUUACUGGGUGUAAAGGGAGCGCAGGCGGGACUGCAAGUUGGAUGUGAAAUGCCGGGGCUCAACCCCGGAGCUGCAUCCAAAACUGUAGUUCUUGAGUGGAGUAGAGGCAAGCG